rnacentral:rRNA from 1 species
UACGUAGGGUGCAAGCGUUUUUUUAAUCGGAAUUACUGGGCGUAAAGCGUGCGCAGGCGGUUAUGUAAGACAGGUGUGAAAUCCCCGGGCUUAACCUGGGAACUCAUUUUGUGACUGCAUAGCUAGAGUACGGUAGAGGGGGAUGGAAUUCCGCGUGUAGGCAGUGAAAUGCGUAGAUAUGCGGAGGAACACCGAUGGCGAAGGCAAUCCCCUGGACCUGUACUGAC